rnacentral:rRNA from 1 species
CCUACGGGGGGCUGCAGUCGAGGAUCUUUAGCAAUGCCCGAAAGGGUGACUAUGCGACGCCGCGUGCAGGACGAAGGCCUUCGGGUCGUAAACUGCUGUCAGGGGGGAAGAAACCUUACGUGUGAAUAACACGUAAGCUGACACCACCCCCAAAGGAAGCCACGGCUAACUCUGUGCCAGCAGCCGCGGUAAGACAGAGGUGGCAAGCGUUGUUCGGAUUCAUUGGGUGUAAAGGGCAGGUAGGUGGUUAUGUAAGUCCGGUGUGAAAGCCCACGGCUCAACCGUGGAAAGGCAUUGGAAACUACAUGACUUGAGUACCGGAGAGGUGAGGGGAAUUCUCGGUGUAAGGGUGAAAUCUGUAGAUAUCGAGAGGAACACCAGUGGCGAAGGCGCCUCACUGGCCGGUAACUGACACUGAUCUGCGAAAGCAAGGGGAGCAAACAGGAUUAGAUACCCCAGUAGUC